rnacentral:rRNA from 1 species
UCUUUUCCUUUUGUGCCCGCCGCCGCGGUAAUACGUAGGGGGCUAGCGUUAUCCGGAAUUACUGGGCGUAAAGGGUGCGUAGGUGGUUUCUUAAGUCAGAGGUGAAAGGCUACGGCUCAACCGUAGUAAGCCUUUGAAACUGGGAAACUUGAGUGCAGGAGAGGAGAGUGGAAUUCCUAGUGUAGCGGUGAAAUGCGUAGAUAUUAGGAGGAACACCAGUUGCGAAGGCGGCUCUCUGGACUGUAACUGACACUGAGGCACGAAAGCGUGGGGAGCAAACAGG